rnacentral:rRNA from 1 species
UACAGAGGGUGCAAGCGUUGUUCGGAAUUAUUGGCGUAAAGCGCGUGUAGGCGGCUUUGCAAGUCGGGUGUGAAAGCCCUCAGCUCAACUGAGGAAGUGCGCCCGAAACUGCAGAGCUUGAGUGCCGGAGAGGGUGGCGGAAUUCCCCAAGUAGAGGUGAAAUUCGUAGAUAUGGGGAGGAACACCGGUGGCGAAGGCGGCCACCUGGACGGUAACUGACGCUGAGACGCGAAAGCGUGGGUAGCAAACAGG